AUGCAUCCACAAAUCUCGCUCCAGGAUUUCUCCGGGGUGAAUCCUCUCACUGACCCGCUCUGUUUUAUCUUAAAGGAGGCUUCCAGAGUGAAUCACAGGACCUACGUGGUCAAGCAGAGGAACCAGCCUGCUCUCAGCGAUGCUCCUCAAGGGGAAGACUCGAUCCAGGUGAUUGAAAGGAACUUGGAACAAAUCAAGCUGCUGAACAGAGAGGAAAGAAAAGUCCUGGAAAAGAAACACAAAGCUAAAGGAAGGGGAGGGGUCAAGUUUGAAAUCACUCUACAUUCCGCUCAUGAAAACGCCGCCGGGGAGGAGAUGGAAAACGACACAUUGAACGAAACUCUGACUUUCGUGAGUGGCAAGAAGCUCAAAGAGGAGCUCAGGAAGAUGCAAGUUGACUGUCCAGAAAAAGCUCCUCUAGGACUACUUUGUCCCAAAGCAGGUACCCGUCAGAGAAACAGCUGUGACACCUUUGGGCAAGUCACUUAA
rnacentral:lncRNA from 1 species